GUUAAGUUGCAGGGUAUAGACCCGAAACCCGGUGAUCUAGCCAUGGGCAGGUUGAAGGUUGGGUAACACUAACUGGAGGACCGAACCGACUAAUGUUGAAAAAUUAGCGGAUGACCUGUGGCUGGGGGUGAAAGGCCAAUCAAACCGGGAGAUAGCUGGUUCUCCCCGAAAGCUAUUUAGGUAGCGCCUCGUGAAUUCAUCUCCGGGGGUAGAGCACUGUUUCGGCUAGGGGGCCAUCCCGGCUUACCAACCCGAUGCAAACUGCGAAUACCGGAGAAUGUUAUCACGGGAGACACACGGCGGGUGCUAACGUCCGUCGUGAAGAGGGAAACAACCCAGACCGCCAGCUAAGGUCCCAAAGUCAUGGUUAAGUGGGAAACGAUGUGGGAAGGCCCAGACAGCCAGGAUGUUGGCUUAGAAGCAGCCAUCAUUUAAAGAAAGCGUAAUAGCUCACUGGUCGAGUCGGCCUGCGCGGAAGAUGUAACGGGGCUAAACCAUGCACCGAAGCUGCGGCAGCGAACGUAUCACCCAAGACAACUUUACGGAGUUGACGAUUGACGGAGCGAAGCGACGUCAAAGCGUUCAUUAAAGUCGAGUUGGCUUAGGGAUACGUUCGUUGGGUAGGGGAGCGUUCUGUAAGCCUGUGAAGGUGUGUCGUGAGGCAUGCUGGAGGUAUCAGAAGUGCGAAUGCUGACAUAAGUAACGAUAAAGCGGGUGAAAAGCCCGCUCGCCGGAAGACCAAGGGUUCCUGUCCAACGUUAAUCGGGGCAGGGUGAGUCGACCCCUAAGGCGAGGCCGAAAGGCGUAGUCGAUGGGAAACGGGUUAAUAUUCCCGUACUUGGUGUUACUGCGAAGGGGGGACGGAGAAGGCUAUGUUGGCCGGGCGACGGUUGUCCCGGUUUAAGGGUGUAGGUGUGUGUUCCAGGUAAAUCCGGUUCACUUUAACACUGAGGCGUGACGACGAGGCACUACGGUGCUGAAGCAACAAAUGCCCUGCUUCCAGGAAAAGCCUCUAAGCAUCAGGUAACACGAAAUCGUACCCCAAACCGACACAGGUGGUCAGGUAGAGAAUACCAAGGCGCUUGAGAGAACUCGGGUGAAGGAACUAGGCAAAAUGGUGCCGUAACUUCGGGAGAAGGCACGCUGACACGUAGGUGAAGUGAUUUACUCAUGGAGCUGAAGUCAGUCGAAGAUACCAGCUGGCUGCAACUGUUU
rnacentral:rRNA from 1 species